ACCCACAACAAAGAUCAGCCCAAAUGGCAAUAGUAUUAAGGCUGAGAAACCUUGGAUUAGAAACCUGGAAGGAUAACCAGGGGAAGAGGAGGCAACCCUGAGAUUGCAAGAAUUGCAAGAAGCCACUGUUACCUCCAGGGCCAGCAGACCAGCAUGAAAAAAGAUCUGGGACCGGUCACUAAUUCAGAAGAGGGUAGACACAGGGCUUCCGAGCUUGGCGAGUAAGAGCCUACCUGGACAGCUCUCCUUGCUGCAGAGGGGAGGUAUGAGUUUGCAAAGCAUCUCUCAAAUGGAGUGAUUCAGCUGCGUGAAGACAGCUGUACUUCCGAAUAAAAAUAUCUUCUGGAGGAAAAGAGUCUUUCUUAUAAGUAGAAUUGUCCCCCAAAAUUGUUCAGUUUUCAGAUUAUAGGGAAGGAAAUGAGCUCAACGGAAAAACCGAAAUAGACACACAUGAUUCCAGAGGAAUCUAAAGACAACGCUCGGAUCUGAGUUACCAGGCAACUCUCUCUCCAAGGAUGCCAUCAUUCUGAUUUUAUAGAAUAAUCAGGUGCCAGAAUUUCUGACUCAAGAGAUCUUGGGAUAAUAAUGAAUUCAUCUUUUAUGAUUUUAAAAAACUAUAAGAAGAAACUUCUCUCUUGCCUGGCACACACUUCACUACUUUUUCUUUCACAGUUUCUUUGUUGUGCGUCUUUAAAGCAAACAGAUCUUCACUUGUUUGGGAUGUUUUUGUUGGAUCCUGCUGAGAGUGGGGAUAGGUGGAAGACCACUCAAGACACUGCUUUUUAGCUGCUUCGGAAUCUGAUCUGAUGGUUAUUAAGAAGUUUUAUCUACAAGGAACAAAGGGAAAAUUGCACAUAAACAUCAUCUAAAACAACAGUCAUGGGACACUCAGCCUCAUGCCUGAAAACAGGGUAAACAAAUUGGAUACAGAGCUGGACGAAGACAAAGGCACAUAAAAGAGCGUUUUCAUCAAUAUCUGAAAAAAAAAAUCCUUGUAGUAACAGUCGUCUGUUCAGGCACUUGUGUACAAAAUCUCAGGAUAGAGUUUUAGAAAAAAUUGUGUGCUAAUUUUCCAUUUUCUUUUUGUCUGUACCAUGACAUGUUACCUUUUAUUCAUUUGCUCAUUAGCGAAAGCCUAAUUUGUGCGAGAGUCUCUGCUAGACAUGAGUCCACGCCAGUGCAAGAGUCUGCAGUCCCAGCCUCCAAGAUGCUUACCCUCCAGAGAUGGAAAGAGACAUGUCGACAGCUCUUGACCAAUGAUAUAGGACUGAAAAUAGUAGGAUCUACUGUUUGUGCCAUUACAGGGGGGCCCACUACCUAAGGCUUUUUG
rnacentral:lncRNA from 1 species